GUUAAAAAGCUCGUAGUCAGAUUUUGGCACCAUGCCGAACUGUCUGCCGAUUGGUAAGUACGGUUUGGCGGGUGCUUCCUUCCGGAAGCCCGCGUUCUUCUUCACUGAAGGGCGCGGUGAGUCCGGAUCAUUUACUUUGAAAAAAUUAGAGUGUUCAAAGCAGGCCUAUGCUCUGAAUAGGUUAGCAUGGAAUAAUAGAAUAGGACUUCGGUACUAUUUUGUUGGUCUCUAGGACCGAAGUAAUGAUUAAUAGGGACAGUUGGGGGCAUUCAUAUUCCAUUGUCAGAGGUGAAAUUCUUGGAUUAACGGAAGAUGAACUACUGCGAAAGCAUCUGCCAAGGAUGUUUUCAUUGAUCAAGAACGAAAGUUAGGGGAUCGAAGACGAUCAGAUACCGUCGUAGUCUUAACCAUAAACUAUGCCGACUAGGGAUGUGCAGGCGCUAAUUUUAUGGCCCUGCAUGCACCUUAUGAGAAAUCAAAGUCUUUGGGUUCCGGGGGGAGUAUGGUCGCAAGACUGAAACUUAAAGGAAUUGACGGAAGGGCACCACCAGGAGUGGAGCCUGCGGCUUA
rnacentral:rRNA from 1 species